GACGAACGCUGGCGGCGUGCCUAAUACAUGCAAGUAGAACGCAGUUGCGAACGGGUGAGUAACGCGUAGGUAGCUGCCUCAUAGCGGGGGAUAACUAUUGGAAACGAUAGCUAAUACCGCAUACUGUGAGCUGGACCUGCGUUGUAUUAGCUAUUGGGUGAGGUAAAGGCUCACCAAGGCGCCGAUCCAUAGCCGACCUGAGAGGGUGGUCGGGCAAACUGGGACUGAGACAAGGCCCAGACUCCUACGGGAAGCAGCAGUAGGGAAUCUUCGGACAUUGACGGAAGUCUGACCGAGGAACGCCGCGUUAGUGAAGAAGGUUUUCGGAUCGGAAAGCUCUUUUGUUAGAGAAGCGGUAACUACCCAGAAAGGGACGGCUAACUACGUGCCAGCAGCCGCGGUAAUUC
rnacentral:rRNA from 1 species